UGGGGAAUUUUGGACAAUGGGGGAAACCCUGAUCCAGCCAUCCCGCGUGUAUGAUGAAGGCCUUCGGGUUGUAAAGUACUUUUGGCAGAGAAGAAAAGGUAUCUCCUAAUACGAGAUACUGCUGACGGUAUCUGCAGAAUAAGCACCGGCUAACUACGUGCCAGCAGCCGCGGUAAUACGUAGGGUGCAAGCGUUAAUCGGAAUUACUGGGCGUAAAGCGUGUGUAGGCGGUUCGGAAAGAAAGAUGUGAAAUCCCAGGGCUCAACCUUGGAACUGCAUUUUUAACUGCCGAGCUAGAGUAUGUCAGAGGGGGGUAGAAUUCCACGUGUAGCAGUGAAAUGCGUAGAUAUGUGGAGGAAUACCGAUGGCGAAGGCAGCCCCCUGGGAUAAUACUGACGCUCAGACACGAAAGCGUGGGGAGCAAACAGG
rnacentral:rRNA from 1 species